CUUGCAUAGCCUGUGUGAGGGCCUAGGUUUGAGUCACUCAGAAAAGACUCCUGUGUCCCACAGAUGGGGGAGGAUGGAGAUGGGAAGUGUAUAGGAAGUGAGAUUUGGAGCAUCUUGGGAAGGAGGGGAUGAAAGCAAGGGUCUAGUCACACUGCUGAGUUGCUAUAAUGUGGUGGCUGGUCAGGCAUGGUCUCAUGACCAGGUUUGAGUUUGUGUGCCGCUGCAAGUGACAGAAUACUUGGAAUGGGUGGGAAACAUAAAAUUAUGAGAUAAAUGUCUCAGUUCAUGUUCCACUGGAGGUGACAGAAAGGCAGUCAGGUGGAGGUUAAAGUGAGGCUUUAUCACGGGGAAAAUCUCUUCUUUUCCUUGGGAAUCAGCCUAAUUUUUUUCAACUAUACCUUUCUCCUAAAUAUUUGGUCCUAAAGGAGCUAUAAAUUCCCUGCCCCUGUUACUUGUCAAUAUCAAUAACCAGGUCAAAAGCAAUAGACAACUGCAGGGUCUAACCAAGCAUUGUAGUGAUGGUGAGUUGCAUGCUCUCUGGAAGGCACAUCAAAGUGCUUAGCCCUGCUACCUGAAGAUGUGGCUUAACUGGAAUAGGCUCUUUACAGUUGAAACUGCACUGGAUUAUGGGGAGGGACGGGGGUAAACCCAACAACUGGUGUCCUUAAAAGAACUAGUUAGACAGGUCAUCUGACACCUUUAUUUUGGACUUCUGACCCUCACAACUGUACAAGGAUACAAGUCUCAAGUUCACAGCACUUACUAGACUCGCUCUGGGGCAGUCUCUGCCUUUGGGGUGGGGGUAUGGUUCGGUGGCACAGUGCUUGCCCAGCAUGUCUGAGGCCCUGGCGGGUUCCCAGCGCUAAAGGAAAAAUUCCUUAUUUUCCUGUUAGUGGGUGGGUCAUGGGACCACAUGGAACUGUGUCAACCGCAAAGUGAGUGUGAGCACUUAGCAAGUAGGUCUGGUAGAACAAAUACUCAGAAGAGUCUGUUCCCUAACUCACCUGAAGGGUGUGCUCCCAAUAACCUGGCUGCCUCCCACCAGGCCCCACCUCUUUAAAGGUUCCACCUCCCAACAGUGCCCUGCUGGGGACCAAGCCUUUAACACCAGGGCCUGUGGAAGAUGUCACAGAUCAAGGGCAAAGCAGGCAGAAUUAAUAUAGGAGCAGAAGGUGGACAGCCGAGCUCCCAGUGGUUCAUUUGACAAGCCCAAGCUGUGCAAAGCCUUAGCCUCUCAUCCUGCGUGUCCUGCCCACACUCCUCCUGUGCAGAUGCUCACGUGUCAGUGAGACAACCACCGUUCCCCGGGCUGGCCCGUCUGUGGUGUAGCUGGCUCCUCUUCAGUCUGAAGCGCACAAGGCCCAUUCCCCACCAUCACCUGCAGGUGGUGUUAGUCCCCAGGAGCAACUCCUGUACUUCAUGGCCCUCUCUUCUCCCUGACAACAGUACCUCCAGUGCAGGUGGCCAAUGGUUGCUGCGAUCAGUUGGUGAGGUACAGUCGCACACACAGACAUCGCUGGGUCUCGAACUCCAUGCUGGGGCUGAUGGACACCAGGAACAAGGUGAGAUACUAACUUGCUUCCUUCAAGUGUCCCAAGUGACACUGACCCCCACUAGGUUAGUGAUGCCCAAUCCACCCAAAUCAGGAGCCGUUAGACACACAGCAGAAGAGCAGAUGCUCCCUAAACCAAGGCCAGACUGUCAUUCAGGACGACUGCCAGGAGCCUGUGCACCAAUCUUUAUACUGGGCUUUAUUUUUGUGUUCUUUAAAGUCUGGUUGGGCACAGACACACACACACACACACACACACACACACACACACACACACACACACAGCAGGUUAAAAUAUCCAAAUAAAAUUUACUGCAACUUUUGUAGAAUUUAAUUUGUGCUACAAGACAUGUUGCAUAGGAAACUAUUCAAAGCCCCUGAGGAAAAAUAUUCAUGGUUUAAGGUGCAACUGGUUUUGUUUCUUUGGGGAAAAAAGGCGAGAGAUGAUCUCUGGGCAAAACAAAGGUGCAGAGUGGAGACACAGAGUGAAGGUCAUUUCUGUGACGACUGGGGUUCUGUGUGACUUGGUUCUCGCUGGCAGCAUAAAUAUCUAGUGUCUGUAAGUCUGUUGAUCUUCAAUGUCUGAAUCAGUAGCUAUAUGACGUGUCAGCCCAACAAGGGAUUGUACACUGGUUAAAACUAAGUCAUGAAUGUGUAUCAGGAAAGUGGACAGAGCCUGAAACUCGGAUCUAAAACCACCCCUUGAGACAGCCCAGGCCCCACCCAUUGCCAGGGCUACCUCACAGCCGAUCUUCUGGGUAUCUGUUCUGCCUACCGAUUCCUCCCCAAAUGCCACAGCUGCAUGAGUUGUGGAAGUCAACAGAGCACUGAUCCACAACCCUUGAAGGUCUUCAACACAAACCCUCUGUAAAUCUCCCGAAUUGAUGUGGGAACAUCAUUUAGGGUCAAUGUUCCCCAUGCUGAUAUUCAUACUGUACAAUAACCUGAUCCCUGUGUACUGCUUAUUUCUAAGGAGCUGUGGGAGCACCAGGAAGGAGAAGCAUUAAAUAUUAGAUGAAGUGGGGAGUUUGGCGACCACAGCUGCAUCCCAGCUCAUGACAUCACUUGGAAGGUCACCCAGGCUGUGGUGGCCAUAGGAAGACUCUGGCUGGGCGCCUAGGCUUCCUUCGUGCCUUCAGGAGGCAGAGCUUGGCAGGGCCCACCUGACUCUCGAGGGGCACCGUUCUGAGUGACAACUGUACACAGGCAGGGGUGACAGGGGAACCCCAACUCCAACUGCUGUUUGAGUCUCAAUGGCACUUAAUCCAGCAGGUGGGGCUUCCCUGCCUGCCAAGCCACAAGCCACAAGUCCCGUGGAUGGCUGCUGACAGCAGCCAGGUAGAGGGAGUGGCAGAGCAGGGCCUGGGGCAGCCUUGGGAUGGUGGGUGUGACUGCCCCAACCAUUCUGCCCACAGGACACACGGUCCCACAGGCA